UUGACGGGGCCCGCACAAGCGGUGGAGCAUGUGGUUUAAUUCGACGCAACGCGAAGAACCUUACCAGGGCUUGACAUCCCCUGACCGCGUAUGAAAGUACGUUUUCACCCUCGGGUGACAGGGAGACAGGUGGUGCAUGGUUGUCGUCAGCUCGUGUCGUGAGAUGUUGGGUUAAGUCCCGCAACGAGCGCAACCCCUACGUUUAGUUGCUAACGCGUGAAGGCGAGCACUCUAGACGAACUGCCGUUGACAAACGGAGGAAGUGGGGAUGACGUCAAAUCAUCAUGCCCCUUAUGUUCUGGGCUACACACGUGCUACAAUGGCCGGUACAGACGGACGCAAAGCCGCGAGGUGGAGCAAAUCCUAAAAAGCCGGUCUCAGUUCGGAUUGCAGGCUGCAAUUCGCCUGCAUGAAGUCGGAAUCGCUAGUAAUCGCAGGUCAGCAUACUGCGGUGAAUACGUUCCCGGGCCUU
rnacentral:rRNA from 1 species